rnacentral:rRNA from 1 species
GAUGAACGCUAGCUACAGGCUUAACACAUGCAAGUCGCGGGGCAGCAUGGGGGUUGCUUGCAAUCCCCGAUGGCGACCGGCGCACGGGUGAGUAACGCGUAUCCAACCUGCCCUUCACCACGGGAUAACCCGGCGAAAGUCGGACUAAUACCGUAUGUUGUCCAUUGACGGCAUCCGAUUUGGACGAAAGGCUUGGCGGUGAGGGAUGGGGAUGCGUCCGAUUAGCAAGACGGCGGGGUAACGGCCCACCGUGGCUACGAUCGGUAGGGGUUCUGAGAGGAAGGUCCCCCACACUGGAACUGAGACACGGUCCAGACUCCUACGGGAGGCAGCAGUGAGGAAUAUUGGUCAAUGGGCGUAAGCCUGAACCAGCCAAGUAGCGUGCAGGAUGACGGCCCUAUGGGUUUUAAACUGCUUUUAUGCGGGGAUAAAGUGGCCCACGUGUGGGCUUUUGCAGGUACCGCAUGAAUAAGGACCGGCUAAUUCCGUG